GGCUUUACACAUGUUAGUCGAGCGGGCGUAGCAAUACGUCACCGGCAGACGGGUGAGUAACGCGUGGGAACGUACCUUUUGGUUCGGAACAACACAGGGAAACUUGUGCUAAUACCGGAUAAGCCCUUACGGGGAAAGAUUUAUCGCCGAAAGAUCGGCCCGCGUCUGAUUAGCUAGUUGGUGAGGUAAUGGCUCACCAAGGCGACGAUCAGUAGCUGGUCUGAGAGGAUGAUCAGCCACAUUGGGACUGAGACACGGCCCAAACUCCUACGGGAGGCAGCAGUGGGGAAUAUUGGACAAUGGGGGCAACCCUGAUCCAGCCAUGCCGCGUGAGUGAUGAAGGCCCUAGGGUUGUAAAGCUCUUUUGUGCGGGAAGAUAAUGACGGUACCGCAAGAAUAAGCCCCGGCUAACUUCGUGCCAGCAGCCGCGGUAAUACGAAGGGGGCUAGCGUUGCUCGGAAUCACUGGGCGUAAAGGGUGCGUAGGCGGGUCUUUAAGUCAGGGGUGAAAUCCUGGAGCUCAACUCCAGAACUGCCUUUGAUACUGAAGAUCUUGAGUCCGGGAGAGGUGAGUGGAACUGCGAGUGUAGAGGUGAAAUUCGUAGAUAUUCGCAAGAACACCAGUGGCGAAGGCGGCUCACUGGCCCGGUACUGACGCUGAGGCACGAAAGCGUGGGGAGCAAACAAGAUUAGAUACCCUGGUAGUCCACGCCGUAAGCGAUGAAUGCCUGCCGUUAGUGGGUUUACUCACUACUGGCGCAGCUCACGCUUUAAGCAUUCCGCCUGGCGAGGACGGUCGCAAGAUUAAAACUCAAUGGAAAUGACUGGGGCCCGCACAAGCGGUGGAGCAUGUGGUUUAAUUCGACGCAACGCGCAGAACCAUACCAGCCCUUGACAUGUCCAGGACCGGUCCCAGAGAUGUGACCCUCUCUUCGCAGCCUGGAGCACAGGUGCUGCAUGGCUGUCGUCAGCUCGUGUCGUGAGAUGUUGGGGUGAGUCCCGGAAUGAGCGCAAACCCCGUCCUUAGUUGCUACCAUUUAGUUGAUCACUCUAAGGAGACUGCCGGUGAUAAGGCGCUAGAACGGUGGGGAUGACGGCAAGUCCUCAUGUCCCUUCCGGGCUUGGCUACACGCCUGCUACAAUUGCCGUGACAAUGGGUUGCUAGGGGG
rnacentral:rRNA from 1 species